GAAGAAGGAGUGUUACUUCAUUUUAUUAAAACCAGAAAGAAGGCUGUUGGCCACUUUGCUCAACAUUCUCAUCAGUACUGCCCAUGAGGCUCUCUGGAUUGGGUCAGCAAUAUUCCUCUGACGCAAGAUUUUUCCAGGAUCCUAAACCCCACAUCUUCCACAACUGUCUUUCAAGGAGGCAAAGACUACUUGCUGUGUACUGGAAUGUGUCCUUUAUAUUUGAUAUUAACUAAUGGGGACGAAAUUGCUCUUGGCUCUUGAUAUUACUGAGUGUUCCCUUUGGGGUCUGGAUUCCUUCCCAGCAAGUGGUAGCAGCCACCAGCAAAGGCUGUUGAAAUGUCAGAUGGCGAAAACAAGAAAGAGCUCCAGAUGGAGCAGCUGGAAGAGAAACACGAUAGAGAUAGCAAUGGGAAAGCUUCAGAGUCACACUUGACUGGGAGUCCCGUGUUUGGGAUUGGGAGUCCCCACCUGUGGCUUCCAAACCCACUCUGUGCAAGCCCUUGUGCAAAGCAGCAUCCCAUGAGGAAGUUCUUCAUUAUUAUGCAUUCCCUGACUUUAGCCAAGAGAGUUUGACCAAGCCAUGGAAGGUCUGUGCUGUCAAGAGUACAGAGAAAACUACUCCAGCACCUGGGAUUUGACUGAAAGGUCAUGAAGGUUCUUGUGGCGUUGGGCUGUGGUGAUGGUGUGGGUGAUGUGUUGCUGGCAAGAAGCCUUGUCCAGGCUGGAAGAGGUGCAGCAGAGUGGUGCACAUGAGCUUUGUGCACACAGGACAGGGGCCCAAACCCCUGGACUGUGCUGGCCUCAGUGCUGGCCUUGCUUCACGUGUAGCUAGUAUUUGGCCUAGCUCAUCUAGAGGCACGUGUAUAUUUAGAAUGCAGACCUAUUUCUAAUUAUAAUCUUUCUGAAGUGAUUGCUAGAUAAGUCAAUUAUCUCACUCCUCUUAGAAUGGUAACUAUUAAUUACUUGAGUUAUAGGCACAGAGCAAAGAUGAUCAAAGCAGAUGAUGCAAUGGGAUACUGAGAUCCACAGGGCGGCUUAACACUGAUGAUGUCUGUUCACUGUUUCUGAAAUUCUUUGAAGAUGGGUGAUAUGUAAUG